CGAUAACGCAACUUAUAAGCAUUUUUGGCUAUCGGGCCUUGAAUCAUAAAAAACUCAAAAUCACAUUUUUCCAUAUAAAAUGUAAACCAAGUAGUCCAUGCAAAAUAAAAACUCAGUUGAGAACAUUGAGAAUAGUCAGUCAACAUUUGGCUGUGAACACGCAAAAUUCUAAAUUCAACCAAAUAUUUUCUGUUCUAAUUUUUCAUUAAAAAGUGUAACUCAAAUUUAGAUUUUAGGUUUAAGUUCAAAGUGGAUCAAAUCAAAACUGCACACAAGACUUUCCACACCAUGCAUAUGCAUGUAUGGAACAUGUUCGUACAUAUGUAGAUAAGCACACAGAAGAGAAUAGAAUAGCCGCAGCGAAGUAUACAACAUAUCCCACCAUAUACCAACACUGUAAACACUUUUAAAAAUUUCGAAAAAUUUGAUUGGUUGAAAGUUGAGAACGCGUAAAAAGUCGGAAAAAGUAUUAAGCAAGCCGCUUUAAUUAUUUUAAUGUAAUUUUGUACAAUUUCUAUUUUAGGAUAGAACAGAUACCCCGUCGCUUCGAUGGGUGAAUUAAACAGGCAAACUGCGACGUGGAUUAGGCUACUGGGGAUACCACGUUAAAAAAAAACGCGCCUUGAACUCUACCAAAUGCUGGUGGUGUGGAAAAGAGUUCUUUGCCGUGUACAAAACAUUGAUUCUGGAUAAAUAAAGUGUAACUAAUUGUAAUAAAUGUAUCCCUACUAUAAUCUUGACAAGUGGGGAAAAUCCUACUUCAAACGACC
rnacentral:lncRNA from 1 species